AAAUUUCCAGAGAGAGAGAGAAAGGGAGUUCUUGAGAGAAAUCCCAAAUCCGACCAAAAUUCAAGUCCCGAAACCCGAAGCUCAUGAAGAGAAAAUUGUUGUACGUCGCGUUGGCUUCAAUUUGAGCUAGAAAUCAGCCAAUAAGGAGAAGAUUUUAUGUGGUGCUGCAAAUUUAAGGUUGAGACAAUAUUGGACAACAUAUACGUAUAAACGCUAAAGGUACAAAUACUCAUUUUGGAGAGCCGCCAACUUAGGAUUCUACUCAACGGGUUUGAAGUGCUCCAUUGUCUCGGAGCCCAAACUUUGGGUACUAAUCCUUAUAAUGUAUAUAUUUGUGUAUUUAGGGGUACGACGGGGCCUUGUCCCGUCAUAUGCUAUUGUUAAUUCUCUUAGAGGUCUGUAGACAUAUGAGUGGGUUGUAUAUAGAUGUUGUCCGGUGUACUAGUAUGACUUAUGUUUUUGGACGUUUACAUUCAGAAUGGAAGCCUUGUCGGCUUACAUAUUAUGUUAUCUUAUUUUUGACAAUUAAGACUCCCCAAGAAAUAGGUGAUUUUAGUAUAUAUAUAAGUAACAGUUUGAGACAACGUGCUACCCAUAUAAAUCCUUUAUCAUGCUUAAUUGCCGAUUGACUAUAGAUAAUAUGUGUGUAUACGAGGGUCCAAUUUGGACACUAGUCACGGGGCUAGGUC